GGGCCCGCACAAGCGGUGGAGCAUGUGGUUUAAUUCGAUGAUACGCGAGGAACCUUACCAGGGCUUAAAUGUAGUAUGACCGGUCUAGAAAUAGGCCUUCCCUUCGGGGCAGAUUACAAGGUGCUGCAUGGUUGUCGUCAGCUCGUGCCGUGAGGUGUUAGGUUAAGUCCUGCAACGAGCGCAACCCCUAUUCUUAGUUGCCAGCGGUUCGGCCGGGGACUCUAAGAAGACUGCCAGCGCAAGCUGAGAGGAAGGUGGGGAUGACGUCAAAUCAUCACGGCCCUUACGUCCUGGGCUACACACGUGCUACAAUGGUACAGACAGAGGGCAGCCACCUGGCGACAGGGAGCGAAUCCUUAAACUGUAUCUCAGUUCGGAUCGGAGUCUGCAACUCGACUCCGUGAAGCUGGAAUC
rnacentral:rRNA from 1 species